AUGAGACUAAAACAACACCAGACCCAGAGAGACUCUUCAUCUAAGAGGUUAUGCGGGAGAUUUCAUCUGCGUAAUAAAACUGCCCUUAUUUGCGCAUACAUCUUCACCGCCGUGCAUCUACCAUGCUGUCAUGCAUCUGAUGAGGCCUGA
rnacentral:lncRNA from 1 species